rnacentral:rRNA from 1 species
GACGAACGCUGGCGGCGUGCUUAACNCAUGCAAGUCGAGCGGUAAGGCCCUUUCGGGGGUACGACGAGCGGCGAACGGGUGAGUAACACGUGGGUGACCUGCCCUCAGCUCUGGGAUAAGCCUGGGAAACCGGGUCUAAUACUGGAUAUGACUCCAUGACGCAUGUUGUGGGGUGGAAAGCCUUGUGCGGCUGAGGAUGGGCCCGCGGCCUAUCAGCUUGUUGGUGGGGGUGANGGCCUACCAAGGCGACGACGGGUAGCCGGCCUGAGAGGGCGACCGGCCACACUGGGACUGAGACACGGCCCAGACUCCUACGGGAGGCAGCAGUGGGGAAUCUUGCGCAAUGGGCGAAAGCCUGACGCAGCGACGCCGCGUGAGGGAUGACGGCCUCGGUGUAAC